AUAUCUCUCUGUACGGGAAGGAUGAGAAGCUUCGACUAAGGUUCGAUUCGAGCGCAGCGAGAAAGCGUUGCCGCAGGCAACGACCCGAAGGGCGAAGCGCGCAGCGCUGAGUCAUCCUUCCCCCAC
rnacentral:sRNA from 1 species